rnacentral:rRNA from 1 species
AUUGAACGCUGGCGGCAGGCCUAACACAUGCAAGUCGAGCGGAAACGAAGGGAGCUUGCUCCCAGGCGUCGAGCGGCGGACGGGUGAGUAACACGUGAGAAUCUGCCCAUUAGUGGGGGACAACUCGGGGAAACUCGAGCUAAUACCGCAUAAUCCCUACGGGGGAACGCAGGGGACCUUUUGGCCUUGCGCUGAUGGAUGCGCUCACGUCGGAUUAGCUUGUUGGGGAGGUAAAGGCUCACCAAGGCGACGAUCCGUAGCUGGUCUGAGAGGAUGAUCAGCCACACUGGGACUGAGACACGGCCCAGACUCCUACGGGAGGCAGCAGUGGGGAAUCUUGGACAAUGGGGGCAACCCUGAUCCAGCCGUGCCGCGUGUGUGAAGAAGGCCUUCGGGUUGUAAAGCACUUUCAGCAGGGAGGAAGGCUUUGGCCGAAUAGGUUGAAGUACUUGACGUUACCUGCAGAAGAAGCACCGGCUAAUUUCGUGCCAGCCGCCGCAGUAA